rnacentral:rRNA from 1 species
AAACUUUCAACAACGGAUCUCUUGGUUCUGGCAUCGAUGAAGAACGCAGCGAAAUGCGAUAAGUAAUGCGAAUUGCAGAAUUCCAGUGAGUCGUCGAAUCUUUGAACGCACAUUGCGCCCUUUGGUAUUCCGAAGGGCAUGCCUGUUCGAGCGUCAUUA